rnacentral:rRNA from 1 species
AGAGUUUGAUCCUGGCUCAGGAUGAACGCUGGCGGCGUGCUUAACACAUGCAAGUCGAACGGAACACCGUUUUUCGGAAUGGUGUUUAGUGGCGGACGGGUGAGUAACGCGUGGGUAACCUGCCUCAGACUGGGGGAUAACGGUUGGAAACGACCGCUAAUACCGCAUAAGCCCACAGUACCGCAUGGUACAGAGGGAAAAGAUUUUAUCGGUUUGAGAUGGACCCGCGUCUGAUUAGCCAGUUGGUGGGGUAACGGCCUACCAAAGCUACGAUCAGUAGCCGACCUGAGAGGGUGAUCGGCCACAUUGGGACUGAGACACGGCCCAAACUCCUACGGGAGGCAGCAGUGGGGAAUAUUGCGCAAUGGGGGAAACCCUGACGCAGCAACGCCGCGUGAGUGAAGAAGUAUUUCGGUAUGUAAAGCUCUAUCAGCAGGGACGAAAAUGACGGUACCUGCAGAAGAAGUCCCGGCUAACUACGUGCCAGCAGCCGCGGUAAUACGUAGGGGACAAGCGUUAUCCGGAUUUACUGGGUGUAAAGGGAGCGUAGGCGGCAAAGCAAGUCAGAAGUGAAAGCCCGCGGCUCAACUGCGGGACUGCUUUUGGAACUGUUUAGCUGGAGUGCAGGAGGGGUAAGCGGAAUUCCUGGUGUAGAGGUGAAAUUCGUAGAUAUCAGGAGGAACACCGGAGGCGAAGGCGGCUUACUGGACUGCAACUGACACUGAGGCUCGAAAGCGUGGGGAGCAAACAGGAUUAGAUACCCUGGUAGUCCACGCGGUAAACGAUGAAUGCUAGAUGUCGGCAGGCAUGCCUGUCGGUGUCGUCGCCAACGCAAUAAGCAUUCCGCCUGGGGAGUACGUUCGCAAGAAUGAAACUCAAAGGAAUUGACGGGGACCCGCACAAGCGGUGGAGCAUGUGGUUUAAUUCGAAGCAACGCGAAGAACCUUACCUGCUCUUGACAUCCCCCUGAAUGGGUAUGUAAUGUAUCCAGGCCUUCGGGACAGGGGAGACAGGUGGUGCAUGGUUGUCGUCAGCUCGUGUCGUGAGAUGUUGGGUUAAGUCCCGCAACGAGCGCAACCCUUAUAUCCAGUAGCCAGCGGCGAGGCCGGGCACUCUGAAUAGACUGCCGGGGACAACCCGGAGGAAGGUGGGGAUGACGUCAAAUCAUCAUGCCCCUUAUGGGCAGGGCUACACACGUGCUACAAUGGCGUAAACAAAGGGAAGCGAGGGCGCGAGUCGGAGCGAACCCCAAAAAUAACGUCUCAGUUCGGAUUGUAGUCUGCAACUCGACUACAUGAAGCUGGAAUCGCUAGUAAUCGCGAAUCAGCAUGUCGCGGUGAAUACGUUCCCGGGUCUUGUACACACCGCCCGUCACACCAUGGGAGUCGGUAAUGCCCGAAGUCAGUGACCUAACCGAGAGGGAGGAGCUGCCGAAGGCAGGACCGGUAACUGGGGUGAAGUCGUAACAAGGUAACC